rnacentral:tRNA from 1 species
CUUUAGCCUUCCAAGCUACUGAUGCGGGUUCGAUUCCCGCUACCCGNU